AUGAGGCUGGUGACUGGGGUAACUGUGCUUCUGACAUUGGGGAUUAUGGUUGAUGUUGAGAUCACCCAGCUCAGUUCCAUGGAUUGUGCUGAAGGAGAGGAUGUAAACCUGCUUUGUAACCACUCUACCAUCGAUGCAUUGGACUAUAUACAUUGGUAUCGGCAAACUCCCAAUCGGAGUCCACAGUAUGUCAUUCAUGGCUUCCGAGACACAGUGAACAGCAGCAUGAGCUCUCUAAACAGCUUCAGACAGAAAGUCCAGCACCUUGGUCCUGUCCCAGGUCACCCUGAGAGACAGCGCUGUGUACUACUGUGUCCUGAGAGAGGCACACUGGGACAGAUGGGACUGCACCUGUGCAGUAUCUCUCUGGUGGGAAGAAGGGGGGGACACAGUUGGGGAGCAGGCAUGA